rnacentral:rRNA from 1 species
UCGUACCUACGGGAGGCAGCAGUGGGGAAUAUUGGGCAAUGGGCGCAAGCCUGACCCAGCAACGCCGCGUGAAGGAAGAAGGCUUUCGGGUUGUAAACUUCUUUUAUCAGGGACGAAGCAAGUGACGGUACCUGAUGAAUAAGCCACGGCUAACUACGUGCCAGCAGCCGCGGUAAUACGUAGGUAGCGAGCGUUAUCCGGAUUUACUGGGUGUAAAGGGCGUGUAGGCGGGAAUGCAGGUCAGAUGUGAAAACUAUGGGCUCAACCCAUAGCCUGCAUUUGAAACUGUAUUUCUUGAGUGCUGG